AAGCAUUUCAUUUUAAAUAAAUAUAUUGGCACCAUGUGCUCUCUGUAAUACUAAAUGAUGUACUAGGCACUGAUGGAUUCCAGAUGGAGUAAGGACAUGAAAUUAAACUGGGGCAAUGAGUUUGGAUGAAGAACAGAACAGAGGUAAAGGGCCCUGUCAUCACAUCACAUGAGAAAGUCCAUGUUAUCAACAUGACAUCACUGGUGGUGCUAGCCAUGAUCACUGGAAGAAUAUAUAUGUAGAGGAAAUACAUCACACAGAUAUUUGGAGAAGACUAUUUCAGGUGUGCUGAAGCCCUAUCCCCAAGAUGACUAUAUUUGGAGACAGGAUUUUUGGAGGAAUAUUUCAUCUUUUGGUUUAGAAAUUCAAAGCAUUCAAGUUUAUUAAGACAAUUGUAUUUCUGUAAAAUAUCUAAUUUGGAUUCCUUGAUGGAGGACAAAAUUGCCACAUGUGACCAAUGUAUCAUGGACAGCUAAUACCCCAAUUAUCACUUGACUAGGAAGAAAGGACCAAAGAGAGACAAUGUUUUCUCUUAUACACAUUGUUUGCACAUUGCUCGUUAACACCUCCAGGACAGAGCAUCACCAUGAAAUUCUCUAUUGAGCAGUAAAGAGAGACAGAGAGAGAGAGAGAGAGAAGAAAAAAGAAACAACAGCCUGGAAGUAGCUUUUGUCUUUCAUCACUAUUCACUACUGAGAUGUUUUAAUAGCUAUAAAAGGAGAGAGAGAUUGUCAUGCUGCCAUGAAAUGGAUAUAAACAAUUUUCAGCUGAGACUCUGACCAAAAAAAUUACUCAGGGAGUACAAUUAGAACAUUCACAACACAAAGGGAUCAUGAAUGCUUGAGGUGACGUAUCCCCUGCUACCCUCGG
rnacentral:lncRNA from 1 species